rnacentral:sRNA from 1 species
UUUUUUUUGGCGGGAAAAAGAUUUACAAGUGAUUUUAAAAGGGUUUUAAAAGAUUUACAAGAGAUUUUC